ACCCACACCACGCUCCGCCUUUCCCACUCUCCUUCCUUCGCUUCGUUGCGAGCCCAGAUCGAUGGCGCAGCCGCAUCCGUCCUCCUCGUCCUCCGCGCAGCCGCCCUCCUCGCCGUGGGUCAUCCUAGGCAGCAUCCCGCGCGUCUCCGCACUGGCGGACGCAGGAGACGUCUCCGUCGAGCUGGCGGCGCUGCCGCGCGUCUCGAUCCUCACCGUCCCCCCGCGCGUCUUCCCGGACCCCCCUACGCCCCGCAACUUCCCCUUCGUCCUCGCCGCCGACCCCUCCGGCCUUCUCCUCCUCCAGGCCAACCUGCACUGCGCCCCGACCCGUGAGGUCAUCCGUCGCCCCGGCCUCCAGGAACUCUCCUGGAAAUUCGCUACUUCUCGCUACUUCGUGCUCGACGCCACCACCGGCUCGGCGUUCCACCUCCCCUACCCUGAGGCCACCAUCAUGCACCAGGCCCUCCUCGGCCUUCUCGUCUCCCCCAGGGGAGGCGGCCACUACAUGGUCGCGGAGCUCCAGCCCAUCAUCGGCUUGGACGAAGCCACGCUCCUUUGCUUCUCCACAGAGGUUGGGGAGUGGAUCGAGAAGACCGUCCAUUACCCGCUCCCGCCACGCCCGCUGGCUCCCAUCUGCGUGGUUUCGCACCACGGGAGGCUCUGGUGGGUGGACCUCUCAUGGGGCGUCAUCACCUGCGACCCCUUCGCCGACGAGCCGGUCCUGGGCUUCGUUCCGUUCCCGCCGGGAAGGGUCCUGGAGUGCAGGGAAGGUUGGGGUGUCGCCGACAAGUUCCGUUACGUGGGGGUGAGCGGCGGCAAGCUGCGUUUCGUCGACAUGUACAUGGGCAAGCGUGCUGGUGUUGGUGGCAGCGGCACGCACACUCCCACUCCCACGGUAAGCGUGUGGACGCUGGGCGAUCCAGACUCCAGGGAGUGGACGCUGGAGCAGGAGGUGGGCUUUACAGAGAUCUGGGCCGAUGAGAGCUACAAGGCGGCCGGGCUGCCGGAGAAGGUCCCCAUCGUCGCGCUCAUUCACCCCAAGAACCCCGAUGUGGUCUACUUCUUCCUCGAGGAGCACCUCUUUGGUGUUGACAUGCGUGCUCGCAAGGUGGUGGAGUGCCAGGUGUAUGGUCUUGUUGCGCCUCCGAGCAUCCGCCUGGCCAGCCGCUUCGUUCGGGCUUGGGAGCUGCCACGGGCGCUCUCCUCCUCAGGCGAGUGGUCUAAUGGCAUCGACUUGGCUGAGAGCGCUAAUGCACGCCCAUACCAGCCCACGCCAGGGGACUACCACUUGGUGGGGGACACCAGGCAGACAUUCAUAGGUUGAAUUGGAGGAACAUGAAGCAGCUAGCAGUCUCCUAUCUAGCCUAGGAAAUGGCGGACGAUGAGUUAACUGAUAUGAUGUAUGACAUGGAGUUUGGAGAAGUGAUGAAAGACCGGAUAGAAGAUUGGUCAGAUGAUGAAAAUUCAGAUCGUGGAGAUAGGUCAGAGAAUGGGAACGUAUUGGAAGAUCUUAAUAUGGAUGAACAUGAUGAUGGUCAGGAAAACAAUGAGCAUGAUGAUGGUGAGGAAAACAAGUCGGAGAUCUCGAAUGAGGAUUACAUUAGUCAGCUCAUUUCCGAAUGUCAUAAUGCGUACGACUAUUACGGUGAAUCCGACGCGGAGACAGGCCUUGAUGUCGAAUCAUUAGCUGCACCUGAUUCUGGGGAGUCGCAAUCGUCGGUCAUCAUGAGUGAGGUAUGUAUGUAAUGAAUGUUGUAUGGAAGUAAUGUUAUACCAUAGAAAACUGUUUUCAUGGCUAUGUUAUGAUUGUGUAG